rnacentral:rRNA from 1 species
UGGUGUCAGCCGCCGCGGUAAAACCAGCACCUCAAGUGGUCAGGAGGAUUAUUGGGCCUAAAGCAUCCGUAGCCGGCUCUGUAAGUUUUCGGUUAAAUCCAUGUGCUCAACGCAUGGGCUGCCGAAAAUACUGCAUAGCUAGGGAGUGGGAGAGGUAGACGGUACUCGGUAGGAAGGGGUAAAAUCCUUUGAUCUAUCGAUGACCACCUGUGGCGAAGGCGGUCUACCGGAACACGUUCGACGGUGAGGGAUGAAAGCUGGGGGAGCAAACCGGAUUAGAUACCCGGGUAGUCCCAGCUGUAAACGAUGCAGACUCGAUGAUGCAUUGGCAUAUAGCCAGUGCAGUGUCGCAGGGAAGCCGUUAAGUCUGCCGCCUGGGAAGUACGUACGCAAGUAUGAAACUUAAAGGAAUUGGCGGGGGAGCACCACAAGGGGUGAAGCCUGCGGUUC